GGCAAAGUCAGGAUGUAGGGAUUGUGUAAAAUAAGCUUCUUCAGCUUUUCAACGUCAGAACUUGAGGUUGCAGACAUCAGAAGGCACUGGCAACGUCUUGGUACAUGAGAUGUAAGAGCUUUCAGAUCAUCUUCAUAUCCAUAAGACAAAAGAAGAUCUGCCUCAUCGAGAAUGAGAAUGGACAGAGAAUCUUGAACAGCUUUCCCUUGAAUAACUCCAUUUGACAAGCAUGUCUGUAUACAAGCAGGAGUAGAUAUAACGAUCUCCGGAGGCCCCGCCAAUGUAGUUCUCAAUUCAGAAACAGACAUAGAACUUGUCAAUUGGACAAGCCUUAAUUGCACUCUACAUAGUUCAAUCAACGAAUUCGCCUCCGAACAAACCUGUUGACACAAUUCCCUUGUAGGUACAAGAAUCAACGCAGUAGGAGCAAGAUUCUUUGUUGAAGAUGACUGAGUAAAAAGCUUGUGAAGUAAAGGAAGGAGAUAAGCAAAUGUCUUUCCAGAACCAGUCUUAGCUCGAGCAACCACAUCUUUCCCUUCGAGGAUUAGAGGAAUAGCAACUCGCUGAAUAGGAGUUGGUUUAUCGAUAGUUUUCUUGGUUAAAGCACGGAUUAGACGAGGGUCAAGUCCCAAUUCUUCGAAGGUUUGUUCUUCAUCUUCCUCAAUCUCAACUCUUCCUUCUCUGUUCAUUCUCUGGUACGCGAGGGUUUUGGGUUUUGG
rnacentral:misc_RNA from 1 species